GAGUUUGAUCAUGGCUCAGGAUGAACGCUGGCGGCGUGCCUAAUACAUGCAAGUCGAGCGAACGGACGAGAAGCUUGCUUCUCUGAUGUUAGCGGCGGACGGGUGAGUAACACGUGGAUAACCUACCUAUAAGACUGGGAUAACUUCGGGAAACCGGAGCUAAUACCGGAUAAUAUUUUGAACCGCAUGGUUCAAAAGUGAAAGACGGUCUUGCUGUCACUUAUAGAUGGAUCCGCGCUGCAUUAGCUAGUUGGUAAGGUAACGGCUUACCAAGGCAACGAUGCAUAGCCGACCUGAGAGGGUGAUCGGCCACACUGGAACUGAGACACGGUCCAGACUCCUACGGGAGGCAGCAGUAGGGAAUCUUCCGCAAUGGGCGAAAGCCUGACGGAGCAACGCCGCGUGAGUGAUGAAGGUCUUCGGAUCGUAAAACUCUGUUAUUAGGGAAGAACAUAUGUGUAAGUAACUGUGCACAUCUUGACGGUACCUAAUCAGAAAG
rnacentral:rRNA from 1 species